CCUACGGGUGGCAGCAGUGAGGAAUAUUGGUCAAUGGGCGGAAGCCUGAACCAGCCAAGUAGCGUGCAGGAUGACGGCCCUACGGGUUGUAAACUGCUUUUAUACGGGAAUAACGCGCCUUACGUGUAGGGCUUUGCAUGUACCGUAUGAAUAAGGACCGGCUAAUUCCGUGCCAGCAGCCGCGGUAAUACGGAAGGUCCGGGCGUUAUCCGGAUUUAGUGGGUUUAAAGGGAGCGUAGGCCGCAUGUCAAGCGUGCUGUGAAAUGUCCGGGCUCAACCCGGGCCUUGCAGCGCGAACUGGCGUGCUUGCGUCCGCGGAACGCAGGCGGACUUCGUCGUGUCGCGGUGAACUGCUUAGAUCUGACGACGAACCCCGCUUGCUACGGCAGCUUGCUGCAGCGGAACUGACGCUGCUGCUCGACCGCGCGGGUCUCGAACCGUCUUCGCUACCCGGUAGUC
rnacentral:rRNA from 1 species